CCUCGCAUGGUAAUCGCCCCCUUUGGGAAGUGACGUCACGCGGCCCCCAGCCAAUCGGCGGCCCCGCAUUUAAAUCCGCGCCCCCUUUUCCCGCGUUUUGGCGCCCCGGCCCCGGCCGAGCCCCCGCUGCUGGACGGGGCGGGCGGGACGGGGCGGGCGCGGCUCGGCUCGGCUCUGCUCGGCACGGCUCGGUGCGGAGGGCAGCGGAACGCCCCCAGCUGCACCCUCCUCCCGCAGCGUACCGGCACCCGUCUGCCCCCCGCCCGCCGUGCUUCGCCUCCCCGCCCGUGCUGGAGGAGCCGCGUUGUGGGGUGCCCCCACCCCUCACCCCCCCAGGCCCAUAGUGCUCCUCUCCGCAUCAAACAGGGGGCACGGGCGGGCAGCACCCCCGGCACGGCACGGCACAGCGGACCCACCUGCUGAACCCAACUUCCCUCUCCUUGUCCUUCGCCCUCCCUUCUCCCUUUCCCCUCUCCCUUUCCCCGGCCUUUCCUUUUUCCCCUCCCUUCCCUUCCCCGUACGCUUUCCUUCCCUUUUUCCCUCCCCUUUCCUUCUGCCUUUCCCCGGUCCCAGCUGGCCGUUGCCCCCCCGUCCCUCGCAGCCUCUCCUCCUGCAGCAGCGCCCGCCCCGUCCGGCCUCUGCACCUGGCCGGGCGUCGGGGCAGCCCGGAGGGCGCCUUCCCCGCAGCCAACGCGGGGCCGAGGAGCACCCGGGCCGGGGAUACGUCUGCGAUCCCGCACGGAUCCUCUCGACACCCCUUCCCCCCCCCCCGUUUUCAUUAUUUCCCCUCUAGGUUUUGCUAUUUUCCCUCGCCGGUUCGUAGCGCGCCGUGCGUGUAGCGACGAACGCGGCGCAUACAAAUCCAGCAGCAAUACGAAUAAUAAAAUGCCGGGAGGCUUAGCUAAAAUGUGACCUGCUGCGAAACGGGGGAGCCGCGGAACGAAGCCGAUCGCCGCGGGAGCAGCCGCGGCUGAGCGCAGCCUGCCGGUCCGGGCAGCUCCGGCUCUCGGCGAGCUCCGCUCGGCUUCUUUAUUUCUUCCCCUCCUCGCUUCCCCCCUCCCCGCCUUUCCUUUGAAAAAUAAUAAUAA